rnacentral:rRNA from 1 species
CGAGUUUGAUCCUGGCUCAGGAUAAACGCUGGCGGCGUGCAUGAGACAUGCAAGUCGAACGGAUGACUCGGGCUUGCUCGAGUCGUUAGUGGCGGACGGCUGAGUAACGCGUAGGUGACCUGCCCGGAAGUGGGGAAUAACUGCCCGAAAGGGUGGCUAAUACCGCAUGUGGUCGGCGAUUCGGUUCGUCGACCAAAGCCGCAAGGCGCUUCCGGAGGGGCCUGCGUCCGAUUAGCUAGUUGGCGGGGUAACGGCUCACCAAGGCGACGAUCGGUAGCUGGUCUGAGAGGAUGAUCAGCCAGACUGGGACUGAGAACGGCCCAGACUCCUACGGGAGGCAGCAGUCGGGAAUUUUGCCCAAUGAGCGAAAGCUUGAGGCAGCAACUCCGCGUGAGGGAUGAAGGCUCUCGGGUCGUAAACCUCUUUUCUCAGGGAAGAUUCAAGACGGUACCUGAGGAAUAAGCCACGGCUAACUACGUGCCAGCAGCCGCGGUAAUACGUAGGGGGCGAGCGUUGUCCGGAUUUACUGGGCGUAAAGAGCGCGCAGGCGGUCGUUCAAGUCGCGUGUGAAAGCCCCCGGCUCAACUGGGGAGGGUCACGCGAUACUGAUCGACUCGAAGGCAGGAGAGGGUAGUGGAAUUCCCGGUGUAGUGGUGAAAUGCGUAGAUAUCGGGAGGAACACCAGUGGCGAAGGCGACUACCUGGCCUGUUCUUGACGCUGAGGCGCGAAAGCUAGGGGAGCAAACGGGAUUAGAUACCCCGGUAGUCCUAGCCGUAAACGAUGGACACUAGGUGUUGGUGGUAUCAACCCCGCCAGUGCCGAAGCUAACGCAUUAAGUGUC